AGUGAAGCGGCAACAGCUCAAAUUUGAAAUCUGGCGCCUUGUGCGCCCGAGUUGUAAUUUGUAGAGGAUGUUUCGGGUGCGGCACCGAUCUAAGUUCCUUGGAACAGGGCGUCAUAGAGGGUGAGAAUCCCGUAUGUGACCGGUCGCCUAUCCCAUGUGAAACUCCUUCGACGAGUCGAGUUGUUUGGGAAUGCAGCUCAAAAUGGGUGGUAUAUUUCAUCUAAAGCUAAAUAUUGGCCAGAGACCGAUAGCGCACAAGUAGAGUGAUCGAAAGAUGAAAAGCACUUUGGAAAGAGAGUUAAAAAGUACGUGAAAUUGUUGAAAGGGAAGCGCUUGCGACCAGACUCGCCCGGGGGUGAUCAACCGUCCUUUUGGGCGGUGCACUUUCCCUCGGGCGGGCCAGCAUCGGUUCGGGCGGCUGGAUAAAGGCUUCGGGAAUGUAGCUCCUCUCGGGGAGUGUUAUAGCCCGGGGUGCAAUGCAGCCAGUCUGGACCGAGGACCGCGCUUUUGCUAGGAUGCUGGCGUAAUGGUCGUCAGCGACCCGUCUUGAAACACGGACCAAGGAGUUAACCACCGGUGCGAGUGUUUGGGUGUCAAACCCGUACGCGUAAUGAAAGUGAACGGAGGUGAGAACCCCUUUCGGGGCGCAUCAUCGACCGAUCCUGAUGUCUUCGGAUGGAUUUGAGUAAGAGCACCGUUGGUUUGACCCGAAAGAUGGUGAUCUUUACGCGGAUAGGGUGAAGCCAGAGGAAACUCUGGUGGAGGCUCGCAGCGGUUCUGACGUGCAAAUCGAUC
rnacentral:rRNA from 1 species